ACAAAUCAGUUAUAUAGCUUCGGCUAUAUAUAUUCACCCUAAGCCUGGGUUUACACCCGGGCUUUGGUUAGGCUAGUGUGCUUCGGCGUACUGGCCACAUAGACGCUUGUAUUGUUUGACAGAUUUUAGUUGAAUCAAAAAAUGA
rnacentral:misc_RNA from 1 species